CCUUAUUGGGCCAACCCUUCUCUGUAGCAAAAGAGUGGGAAGAUUUUAAAGUAGAGGUGACAUACCUACCGAGCCUAGAGAUAGCUGGUUAUUCAAGAAAAGGAUUUUAGUCCACCUUUAAGUUUUAUAGUAUAAUAAACAGUCCAAUAGCAUCCAAUAAUACCUAAAAGUACCAAGUAAACUUAAAAGUCACUCAAAUAAGGUACAGCCUAUUUGAAUUAGGAAACAGCCUCCAAUACUGGGUAAUGACCUCCCCCCCAUGAUUAAGUCGGCCUAAAAGCAGCCACCUUUUAAAAAGCGUCCAAGCCUUAUCAUAAUCUAUUACCAAUCCCACAAUUAACUCAUAACCCUCAACUGCUACUGAAUAAUCCCAUAAAUAUAUGAGAGCCAUCAUGCUAGAACUAGUAACAAGAAAAGAACCUCUCCAAAAUGUAAACGCAAGCCAUAAUGAACCAUCACCGGCAUCCACCGCAUAAUUACAGUAUCAACAAUUCAAGAAAAUCGUACUUUAAAUAGCGUUAACCUUACACUAGAACAUUUCUGAGAAAGAUUAAAAGAGACGGAAGGAAUUCGGCAAACAUUA
rnacentral:rRNA from 1 species